rnacentral:rRNA from 1 species
GGUGCCGCCUGCCCAGUGACUCUUUUAACGGCCGCGGUAUCCUAACCGUGCAAAGGUAGCAUAAUCACUUGUCCCAUAAAUCGGGACCAGAAUGAAUGGCUAAAUGAAGACUAAACUGUCUCUUGCGGACAAGCCAAUGAAAUUGAUUUUCCAGUACAAAAGCUGAAAUAAACCCAUAAGACGAGAAGACCCUGUGGAGCUUUUAAACCAAAACCACCAAGCAUGUCCUCAGGUUUUUAGUUGGGGCGACUUCGGAGCAUAAAAAAACCUCCAAAACAUGAACUUAUCAAGACCAACAUAUCAAAAAUAGUAUCAUAAGAUCCAGCAACCGCCCGUUGACUGAUUAAUGAACCAAGUUACCCCAGGGAUAACAGCGCCAUCCCCUUCUAGAGUCCUUAUCAACAAGGGGGCUUACGACCUCGAUGUUGGAUCAGGACACCCCAAUGGUGCAGCCGCCAUUAAAGGUUCGUUUGUUCAACGAUUAAAGUCCUA